AUUGAACGCUGGCGGCACGCCUAACACAUGCAAGUCGAGCGGUAACAUGCUUAGUAGCAAUACUAAGUGAUGACGAGCGGCGGACGGGUGAGGAACACGUAGGAACCUGCCCAAAAGUGGGGGAUAACUAAGGGAAACUUUAGCUAAUACCGCAUAAUUCUCUGAGGAGAAAAGUUGCCCGUAAGGGUAGCGCUUUUGGAGGGGCCUGCGUCCGAUUAGUUAGUUGGUGAGGUAAUGGCUCACCAAGACGAUGAUCGGUAACUGGUCUGAGAGGACGACCAGUCACACUGGGACUGAGACACGGCCCAGACUCCUACGGGAGGCAGCAGUGGGGAAUCUUGGACAAUGGGGGCAACCCUGAUCCAGCGAUGCCGCGUGGGUGAAGAAGGCCUUCGGGUUGUAAAGCCCUUUAGGCUGGGAAGAAGAGUGUGGGAUGAAUAAUCCUGUACUUUGACGGUACCAGCAGAAUAAGCACCGGCAAACUCUGUGCCAGCCGCCGCAGUAA
rnacentral:rRNA from 1 species